AUCUUUCCCUCACGGUACUCAAUGUGCGUUCGAACCUUUGCAUCUUUCCCUCACGGUACUCAAUGUGCAUUCAAAAUCUUUGCAUCUUUCCCUCACGGUACUUCACAAAUCAAUGUGCGUUCAGAUCUUGCAUCUUUCCCUCACGGUACUAUACAAUGUGCGUUCAAAAUCU
rnacentral:misc_RNA from 1 species